rnacentral:miRNA from 1 species
GCUGACACAUCCCGGCCAAUCUCCAGCAGACCCUCCCUCCCAGGCCCUCCCACCUCCUGGACUGCAUCCAUGUUGAAGCUGCCUUCAACAUGGAUGCUGUCCAGGAAGUAGGAGGGUCUGGGAGGGAGGGUCUGCUGGAGAUUGGCCGGGAUGUGUCAG